CCCCCCCCCCACGGUACCUCCUCGUUUUUGUGCCUCCAGUGUAACUCAAGAAGAUCUGGCCAGGACGAGGGAGGACGAGCAAGUUAAAUCCACAGGAACGCGCCAGGGUUGCUGGCUGUCCCCCCUUGACAGAAGGGUUCUGCUUCCAAGAAGCAUUUCUUGAGUGACAACUAUACAGAACAUUGCAACUUGUAUCCGUGCUGCAAAGUUUCAAUUGCACACACAGGGCAAUCUUUUAUACUAAAUUUCUCAACUGCUUUCAAGAUUUGAUGCGAUUCCCAAUCUGGUACAAAAAUGGGGAAUUUCUCACUCUUCUAGAUUUUGCAGAAUUAUUAUUCCUUUCAUCCCAAAUAGCAUGGAUAUGGAGAGGAAAACCAGGAGUUGUAAUUCAAGAAGUUCUGGGAAAGCAGAAAUUCUGCACUCCUGAUCUAGGGCUUUUUUUUUUUUUUUUGGUUAAUUUGGCUGAGUUUUAUCUAAGGCUAUGGUUUUCCUGUUGUCACAGGUAGUCCUUGAUUUUCAACCAUUCAUUUACAACAGCACUGAAAAAAGUUACUUAUGACCACUUCUCGCACUUAGGGUUGUUGCAGCAUCCUCACAGUCUGUGACCAAAAUGUGGACACUAGGCAACUGGCAUGUACUUAAAACUGUUGCAGCAACCUGGGAUCAAGUGACCCAUCAUUUGCAACAUUCCCAGCCAGCUUCUGACAAGAAAAUCCAAUUGGUGGAGCUAGAAUUUGCUUAACAACUGCAGUGGUUUACUUAACCCUGUGGUAAAAAAAAAAGGUUGUAAAAUGGGCACAAUUCACUUAACAACCACCUUCCUUAGCGAUGGAAAUUCUCUUCCCAAUUGUGGUUGUAAGGCAAAGACUACCUGUAUUAGGUGGACAAGGUUGGAAGAUUUGCCUCCUUCGAUUAGCUGAAAAUUAUCUAGAUCAGGGGUCUCCAACCUUGGCAACUUUAAGACUUGUGGACUUCAACUCCCAAAAUUCCUCAGCCAGCUUUGGGAAUUGAAGUCCACAAGCCUUAAAGUUGCCAAGAUUGGAGACCCCUGCCCUAGAUGACAUGAACUGGAGUGUACCUCAUCUCUGACUUGCAAUUGGGAAUGGUGGGACGUGUAGUCCUGCGCAUUUGGAAAGCAUCAACUAGGACAAGGUUUCCUACAAAAAUGAACUCACCCUGAAGAGCUUUAUAGGAGCUGGUCUCUAUCCCAAUAUGAAUGGAUGUACUCUCAACAGCUAACUCCAUCUUUAUCAACAUCUUAAAACAGGUAAGCAGAAAAACAGCUGUUCAACUGUUGACUAAGGAAAAGAUGCUCAAAAGACCACUUGGCAUAAGGAUCCCCAUCUAGCCAAUUGGUUAAGCUAUUCCUGUGCAGCUCUAGAUGCUGCAUCAAUCACCUACUUUAAGGAAGGACAUAUUGAUGCAAAUAAUCUUUUUUAAAUUUUAUUUUACAUGAGCGCAAUGGCUCGGGUUAAGAUGCUGGACUUGCCAGCUGUAAAGUCAACAGCCCAGGUUCGAGACCCGAGUGCCACAUGGCGGGGUGAGCUCCUGUUACUUGCCCCAGCUCCUGCCCACCUAGCAUUUUGAAAGCAUACACAUACAAGUAAAUAGGUACCACUUCAGUGGGAAGGUAACAGCGUUUCGUGAGCCUUGGCGUAUACCACAUGGUCAUAUGACCAUGGAAAUGUCCUUGAACAACGUGGGCUCCCUCGACUAAGAAACGGAGAUGAGCACCCCUCCUUAGAGUCGGACAUGACUGGUCUGGGGAAGCCUUUACCUUUAUUUAAGGAUGCAUGCUUUUCCAAAUUAUAUCAAGGCAAUUGCUGCUGGCUAUUCUAAUGUGCAAAAUGCUGUAUUGUAUAUCAAAUGCUGUGAAAAUAAACAGAACUUACAAAUAAA